GUUCUCCAAUCAAGUAGGACUACCCGCUGAACUUAAGCAUAUCAAUAAGCGGAGGAAAAGAAACUAACAAGGAUUCCCCUAGUAACGGCGAGUGAAGUGGGAAAAGCUCAACUUUGUAAUCUGGCUCUUUCAGAGUCCGAGUUGUAGUCUAGAGAAGCAUUAUCCGCGCCGGACCUUAAACAAGGCUGUUGGAAUGCAGCGUCGUAGAGGGUGAGAAUCCCGUACAAGUUAAGGAAGCCCGUGUGCAUUGUGAUACGCUUUCUAAGAGUCGAGUUGUUUGGGAAUGCAGCUCAAAUUGGGUGGUAAAUUCCAUCUAAAGCUAAAUAUUGGCGAGAGACCGAUAGCGAACAAGUACCGUGAGGG
rnacentral:rRNA from 1 species